AGUAGGUGGCGGUAAUGCACCUUUCGUUGGUCUGCCAAACCGCCAUAAAACACCACGAGAAGAAGAAGAAGGUUUGUGGCUGUGGCUCCAUUAAUGGUAAGUGGCGACCCGAAGAAUGAGGAAGAAAACCCCUAAGACUAUGAAGUCCACAUAGAGCUUGGAGUCUUCUACAUCCAUGAGCUGCAACACCUCUUCUGGCUUCUGGAACUUGCAGACAAUGCCUGGGCACUCCAAGUCUGUUCGGUUCAUGCUAUAAAUGGAGAGGAUCACACCCUCGAAGCCAUACCUGUAAAAGUAUAAGUGAAAAUAUAUUAGAUUGUAGCUUGACUGGAAGUCUUGAUUCAGGGAAGUGGAAGCAGAUCCAAUGAGGAGCCCCAGAGACUGAGCCACCAGGGCAGUCAAGGUGGACAGAGCCAUGAAGAGAACAAAUCUGACCGCUUCUGGAGGCUGACCUGUCAUCCAGUACACUAUA